GCGCGGGCAGCGCCAGCAGGAAACCCUUGACGCCGUCUGACAGAGCGGCCGCGUCCCACUGCUCCACGUCGCUCAGGGACCAGUCUGCGGUGCAGGGGACACGCGGGAAGAGAAGGCCACGUGAAGACAGAGGCAGGGACUAGGGUGACGUGGCCACAAGCCCAGGACGCCUGGGGCCCAGAAGCAAGGCAGGCCCCUCCCCUUGAGCCUCCAGAGAGAGGGCAGCCCUGAGACACCUGGACUUGGGGCUCUUGGCCCCCAGGCCGUGAGAGGAGAAACUGCUGUUGUUGGGAGCUCCUCACAGCAGCCCAGGGACAGCACACAGCAGGCUGAGGCACUGCCAGUGCUCGCUGUGCAGCCUCAGGCACAGGACGCGCCCUCUCCACGCCUCAGUUUCCUCAACUGAGAAAAUGACCGAUGGCGUCAUCGCUCCCUUAGUGGGAACAACAAAGUGGUUGAAAAGAACAAAUGGAAAAUA